CAGGUAACUUUAAAAUGUGAAUUAAGGAAAAAUGGCUGCAAAGAAAACAUAUACACAACAAAAUGUGCUUAAAAAAUUGCCCGACAUUCCACCCACAAAAACCUUCUUUUCCCCAUUUUACUCGUACAACACACGAAAUACUUGUAACAUGCAACAGUUUGAAUCAAAGAGUAAGAUACGCCCUAUCAGCCUUAAAUAGUAACUGUUAACUCUCAGGUUGGUAAUUCCCAAUUUUCAGUUCAAACGUGUAUUUGAUUAAUUAGAAAUUAGAUCCCCCUUCUCCCUUUGUCAUGUUGAAUGGAAGUUUUGGUUUCAAUCAGCAUUUCAGCCUCUGACACACAACUGGCUCCAGGCCUUGGAAACAGGAGAUAGUGUCCCUGGAGUGGGGAGUUGCAGCCCCUGUGUCCCCUCUGCUCUUGUUCUCUGCAUGGAUUCCUGUUAAACCACUCUACCCAGAGGGCAGGUGGUGGAAAUGCUGAAGUUGGACAGGACCUUAGAGGUAGCCUGGGGCUACUAUAAAGGCAGAAAUUGAGACUUGGCAACAUGAAAUGAUUUCAGUAAGGUUACUCGGACUGUAAGUCUCUCAACUUCCCAUACAGGACCAUUCUUCACUCUACCCACAGCUUCUCUCCUAGACGCUAACACAAGGCUUUUCAACCUCAACACUAUUGACAUUUAGGGCCAGAUCAUUCUUUGUUAUGGGGGGCUAUUCUGUGUAUGGUAGGAUAUUGAGCAGCAUCCCUGAUCUCUACACACUGCAGAUGCCCCUCGACUUAUGAUGCAGUUACAUCCCAAUAAGCCCAUUAGGUUGAAAAUAUCAUAAGCCAAAAAUGCAUUUAACACACCUAACCUACCAAACAUCACAGCUUAGCCCAGGUUACAUCAAAUGUGCUCAGAACACUAACAUUAGCCUACAGUUGGGCAACAUCAUCUAACACAAAGCCUGUUUUAUAAUAAAGUAUUGAAUAUCUCAUGUAAUUUAUUACAUACUGUACUGAAAAUGAAAAACAGGAUGGUUGUAUGGGUACUCAAAGUAUGGUUUCUACUGAAUGCAGAUCAAUUUCACACUAUAUCGUAAAGUUGAAAGAUCCUAAGUUGAAGCAUCUUAAGUUGGGGACUGUCUGUAGAUGCCAGUAGCACCGUUACUCCCCUCUCCAAGUUGUGACAAUAAAAAAUGUCUUCAAAAAAUUGCCAAAUGUCCCCUGGGAAGCAAACUUGUCCACUGCUCUAACAUGAAGGUCAACGGAUAAGCAGAGAGCUUAUCUUGCUUGUCUGUCACUUGGUGAAUAUCAGCGCUACCAAACGCACAGCCCUAUGUGGGAAGCUCCAUGAAGCACCAGCCACAUUUUGAUACAGCCGGGACCACUUCUGAAACCUACAGCCUAAGCAGUGUGGAAAAGGUGGGGUCUCAGAUGGCCACUUCCACUACAGGGAUGGCCAAGAGACUUCAAAGAAAGUUGAGGAGAUGCCACCGCCAUCUGUACCUAACAGGAUGACUGCUGGGAGCAUCACCCCUCACUUUCUGUUUUCAUUUAGAGCAGCACAAGAGAAAAGCAGCUCUCUCUAGAGGAGGAGAUGGAAGGGAGACACUGGAGCAUGCUUCUAGUUUGAAAUUACUCAACCAAAGAGGAUGUGCAGGCCUGGCUGGAGCUCUGUUUUUUGUUUUGUUUUUUUGAGACGGAGUCUCGCUCUGUUGCCAGGCUGGAGUGCAGUGGUGAGAUGUUGGCUCACUGCAACCUCCGCCUCCCAGAUUCAAGCAAUUCUCCUGCCUCAGCCUCCCAAGUAGCUGGGACUACAGACGCGUGCCACCAUACCCAGCUAAUUUUUGUAUUUUUAGUAGAGACAGGGUUUCACCAUGUUGGUCAGGAUGGUCUCGAUCUCUUGACUUCGUGAUCCACUCGCCUCGGCCUCCCAAAAUGCUGGGAUUACAGGCGUGAGCCAACGCGCCCGGCCUGGAGCUCUUUAUACGCGGAACCAGCUCCCCUUUGCUGUCCUUGAACCACAUUCCCAGGGAGAGAUGCAGACCAGGCGCUCCUCCAAUUUGGGAAGAGACCCUACAGGCCUGUCAGUUUUCUUGUGUCUUUGGCUCAGAAGAUGACAGAGGCUCAGAUCUGUAGAAUGACAAAUACGCAGGAGGCCAGGGGAACUCAGAGACUGCUUUUCAGUUCUCCACCUCAGGUACUCCAAAGACAAGCUCCCCCUUCCUCCUCUCCAGAAGGCCCCAUGACAACUUCUUCAAAAAAAGAAAAGAAAUAUGUGUAUAUACAUAUACAUAUAUAUAUAUAUAUAUAACCAGUAAGCUAUAUAUAUGUUUUUAAAUAUUCAAAUUGUUGGAUGGGACAAAAUAAAACAUCAAGUCUUUCUAUCCCACUCUAGUUGUUCUGGUAAUUACAUUACAACUUUAGAUAAUACACUUCUCCCCCAUUUCUUGAUUUAUAAACUUUAGUCUGAGGCUUUUCCUUCCUAGUAAGGAUGGUACGUUUAACUCAUUUACACUCCUGUCUCUUUUUUCCAAUUUUUUCUUCCCAAUUUUUAUUAUAAUUAACUUUAUACUGGAGAUAUAUAACAUUUGCUUUCUACUUUAUAACUAAUAAGUAGAUUUUUUAUGCUUUGUGUAUAGAUUGAGUCUAAGUGUUAAAAACCAGUAAGCAGACUGGAUGCAGUGGCUCAGGCAUGUAAUCCCAGCACUUUGCGAGGCUAAGGCAGGCAGAUGGCUUGAGCCCAGAAAUUCAAGACCAGCCUGGGCAACAUGGUGAAACCUCAUCUCUUAAAAAAAAAAAAAAAAGCAAAAAUUAGCAGGGUGUGGUGACACAUGCUAGCUACUUGGGAGGCUAAGGUGGGAGGAUCACUUGAGCCUAGGGAGGUCAAGGCUGCAGUGAGUUAUGAUCGUGCCACUGCAUGAUCAGUGCAGAGUGAGACCCUGUCUCAAAAAAAAAAAAAACCCACCCCCCCAAAAAAAAACAAAACAAAAACAAAAAAACAAAAACCAGUAAGCAGCAUUUGUAAUAUAACAUCAUUGCAUGAAUGCUGUUCUCUGGAGAACCAAGCAAAGUGGUUGGAGCAAUAUAAAAGGAAAUGUAACACACUGUCAUUUAAAUUUUGUCAGUCAGAAGAGAACCCUUGAGUAUCUUGCCAAAUAAAAGAUCUUUUCUUUUUGACUUUGUUCACUUCUUCUGAGUUAUAACAAUCACUGUCCCCUUUGCUGGAUUUUGUUUUGUUUGAUCUUUAUGUUAUUUUUCUUCCUUCUUACAGGGUCUGCAUGGUGCUAAACUUUCUGAAUUUUUACAUGUCUGAAAGCUACCCUCCUUCAUUCUCUUAUUUUUGAUUGACAGUUUGGGUGUAGAAUUCUAGGUUCAGACUUCUUUUUUUCAUCCUAGAACUUUGAAGACAUUGCUCAACUGUAUUCUAACAACCAAUUUUGUCGAUGAGAAGUCUGAUUCUUGCUUUUUGGAGGUUGCUUGUUUUUAUCUUUGGAAACCUCAAAGAUUCCCUCUUUUUCUCUUGUAGUUAUGGAAUGCCCCCGAACGUGUCCAUUCAACCUACUCACACUUGGUGGGCCCUUGCACUCUGGAAACAACUGUCUUUCUUAGCUAAGGGAAUUUUUCUUCCAUUAUUUCUUUGGUACUUUUCCUCCAAAGUCUCUGUCCUCUCCUUUCAGAUCCUGUCAAAUGAUUUGGACCAACUGAUUCUGACCUCCAUAUCUUGAAACUCUCCUCUUACAUGUUUCUUUUUGCUAUAAUUAUUGGACUUUUUUUUUCUCAACUCUAUCUUCCAGAUCAACAAUUUGGUCUUCAUCAUAUUCAAGUUAUUAGCUAUCCAUUACAUUUUUUUGGUUAAUUUCAGAAACCUUGUUUUUAAUUUUCAAGAAUUUUUUGUUUGAUUUACUCCUUUUUCUAAUAAUCUUCUCUAGUAUCAUGACUGAAAAAGCCUUUCAACUCUCUAAGGAUUAAUCAAAAAGUACAUAAUUGUUUAAUUAGUCCCUCAUGUCUCUAUUUAGUUUUUCUCUUCAUCAGGCAGGUACAGACUCCUACCAUGGCCAAAGUUGGGUGGGGAGUGACUCUCAAGAGAAAAAUCUUUGAUGCCCUCAAGAUCUGUUUCUCUACCAAGCCCUCUCCAGGUAGUGUCUCUAACUUUCUUUAGGUAUCUGUGGCUUGAAGAAAAAAUUAGCAGCUACCAAUUGAUCUGUUGACACAGGAAGUACCUGUUGCAGCUGUUCUUAACAUUCUUUAAUAAAAUCAUCUGGACAAAUUGGCUCAAGACUUACCUUUGUCUUACAUUACAGUUUUCUCUCCUUUUUAGUUUUUUUCCAAACUAAAAAGUGGAAAUCCCAAAGUCACUAAAAUUUAGAUUCAGAUGAAACUUUAGAGAUAACUCCUGUUCCUCUUCAGAGGAUCAGUUUCUCACUUUAGCACUGUGUCACUCUCCUGGUGGAUACUCUUCCAUUUUCUUUACAUCCUUUCUGAGACCAGCAGGCAAUAUGCAUUCUGGAUUCUAAUAGUCCACAUGGCUUGAAAAAUCCCUGGGGGUUCUACUUCAGUUAGUAGCAAACAAGGUAAUUUGAACCAACCUUUCCACUGAGAACAACUAGAAAAGCUAGACAAAAUAAAAUAAGACAAAACCAUCUGCUUGAAGGCUUCAGAAAGCUACCAAGGCAGUGAAGAGGGGUGGAAUUUGAGAGGAGGAAACCAAAGAGGUGAGCCCUGUGGUUGGUGAGCCACAGUUUCCCUAAAGGCACCUAAGAAACAGAGCAGAGCAUUUGGCAGAGUCACAAAGAUAGAGUGAACCUGACAAAAAAGAAAGUCCAGGGCCUACUGAGGAAGAAGAUGGAAACCAGGCUUUAGGUGGGGAUCCUAGAAUAAAGGGUAAAGAGAAAACAGUCAAGACUAACUCUCACAGGAACUAGGGCCCAGCAUCAAAUCAUCCUUAUUCCUGUUUGGAUUAAAGUGAUCUGCAAUUGCUAAUACCCCUAGCCUAGCCACUGAUCAGAUAUAAGCUUAAAUCAUCUCUGAAGGAUGAUGAUGUUAGGCAGAGCAUCUCAAAUUAUCUCUAGAUUUUUUUUCUAGAGAAAAAAUUGCCCAUGCUUGUCACUCAGUAAAAAAAAAGAGAUGCACAGAAGACCAACAAUAAAGCUUCUAGAAGAUAACAUAGGAAAUUGGCUUCAUGACUUUGGGGUAGGCAAAGAUUUCUGAAACAGGACAUAAAAAAUACUAACUAGGAGAUCAAUACAUUGGAUUAAGACCUUUUGUUCAUCAAAAUAUUCUAUUUAAAAAGUGAGGCUGGGUAUGGUGGCUCACGCCUGUAAUCCCAGCACUUUGGGAGGCCAAGGCAGGUGGAUAACUUGAGGCCAGGAGUUCCAGACCAGCCUGGGCAACAUGGUAAAACCUCCUAUCUACUAAAAAUACAAAAAUUAGCCAGGUGUAGUGGUGUGUGCCUGUAAUCCCAGCUACUCGGGAGGCUAAGGCAUGAGAAUCACUUGAACCCGGGAGGAAGAGGCUGCAGUGAGUUGAGAUCACACCACUGCACUCCAGCCUGGGUGACAGAGUGAGACUCUGUCUCAAAAAAAAAAAAAAAGUGAAAAGGCAAGUUACAAAGUGGUAGCAGAUAUUUUUAUCAUGUAUGAUCAGCAAAAGACUCAUAUCCAGAAUGCACAAAGAACUCUUACAAAUCAGUAAGAAAAAGGCAGACAACUCAAUAGAAAAAUGGGCAAAAGACUUGAACAGGCACUUCACAAAGAAACAUACCAAAUGGCCAGUAAAUAUAUGCAAAGGUGCUCAACCCUAUCAGUCAUCUGAGAAAUGCAAAUUAAAGCCAUGAUUAAAUACCACUACAAACCCAAUAGAAUGGCUAAAAUUAAAAAGACUGACAACACCAAAUGUUGGUAGGAUGUGGAGUAACUGGAACUCUCAUAUGCUAGAAGUGACUGUGUAAAGUAGUACCACUAUUUUGGAAAACUGGCACUAUCUUCUAAAGUUGAACCUACCCAUGUCCUAUUACCCAGCAAUGUUACUCCUGGGUAGAUUACCAAAAAAAAUAUGUAUAUGUACAUCAAAAGACAUGUACAUCAAUAAUAGAAUAAAUUGUGAUAUAUUUAUAUAAGAAAUACUAUGGAACAAGGAGAACAAAUGAACUAGAACUACACAUAACAACAUGGCUGUAUUAUACACAUAAUGUCAAGCCAAAUAAGCCAGACACUAAAAUAUAUAUACUGUAUAAUCCUAUUUACAGAAAGUUGAAAAACAGGUAAAACUAUUAAGUGUUGCUAGAAGUCAACAGAGCAAUUACAUUUGGGGAGGGGGAAGGGGUAGUAAUUGAGUCAUGGCAUGAGGGGUUUGGCAAUUUUCUUUCUUUCUUUUUUUUUUUUUGGAGACAGGGCCCAAGUAGCUGGACUACAGGUGUGUGCCACCAUACCUGACUAAUUUUUGUAUUUUUUGUAGAGACAGGGUUUCAUCAUGUUGCCCAGGCUGGUCUAUAAUUCCUGGGCUCAAGUGAUCCACCUGCCUUGGCCUCCCAAAGUACUGGGACUAAAGGCAUGAGCUACUAUGCCCAGCCUUGGAAUUUUGUUUCUUGAUUCGUUUGGUGUUAAAUGAGUGUGUUUAUUUUCUGAUAAUUUACUGAGCACUUAUUAUUUGUGUACUUUUCUGUAUAUCUACUAUACUUCAAUAAAUUUUUAACAGUUUUGGCGUCUCCAAAGACCAUAUAUAAUAAGCCACCUGCCCAUUUGAUGACUAUGUCAACUUAAGAAACCAUGAGGGGUUGGGUGAAGUGGCUCAUGCCUGUAAUCCCAGCACCUUGGGAGGCUGAGGUGGGCAGAUUGCUUGAGCCCAGGAGUUCGAGACCAGCCUGGGCAAUAUGGCGAAACCCUAUCUCUACCAAAAAUACAAAAAAUUAGCUGGGUGCGGUGGCAUGCACCUGUGGUCCCAGCUACUUGGGAGGCUGAGGUGGGAGAUUGCUUGAGCCUGGGAGGGGAAGGUUGCAGUGAGCUGAGUGCGCCACCACACUCCAGCCUGGGCAAUGGAGUGAGACCUCAUCUCAAAAACAAAAAACAAACAAACAAACAAAACAAACAAAAAAAACCAUGAGGGUUUAACAUUUUGGUUUUUAAUUUUCACUUGAGACCAAGUGAAUCUACUGGAACAGGGUUUGCCCUGCAUGUGGCCCAGUUAUGCCAGUAUCAGAUCAUACAAGAUCAGACUUGGCCGAGUUCAUCCAAUAGGAAUUAUCCUCCCCAUAUGGAUUAACAGCUGAAGUUCUACUUCCUUUUCUGACCACAGCACGAUUCAUUGCGUAAUUUUAAUCUAAUCACCUAAAAAGGCAUAGUUCCCUGGACACAAAGCUCUUAAGAGCCACAUGAGUCUACCAGGCUGUGGGCUGGUUACUCUAAGGAUAUGCAAACAUUCCUCUUGGCCAGAGAGAUACUCACCAGGACUACCUAUGGUUGAAUGCUCAAUGCACACGUUCCAUAAGAGGAUGGGCUAUCCCUGUCCCAAGCAUGCAUCUUUCCUUACUUAUCAGGUGUCAUUCACCGACAAUUCAACAAGAUUUCAUCCCCAAUGUUUCACCGACACAGGGGAUGCUACUUAAAAGGAUACUUGUGAUCAAAGCUGUACCACAGCCUGAAUAUCCAUGCGCUCUCCUGUUUUGUCCGGUUUCCUCUGGCAGAAUCUGGGCCGUCCUAGGAACAAACAAGAGGGCACAUGCUUAGUUGUACAAAAGGGAUCUCAAAGAAAGGGGAAAAAAAACCUUUUUUAAUAACUUGUAUAGCUCUGGAGCUCAUAGUCAAACAUCCCAUGUCAGCAAAGUUUCAAAGAUAUAUUGGGAGGUAGCAUUUGAGCAGAAAUUAAACUCAAAAGGCAGAAAAAUCAGUCUCCAAAGUAAAAAGGCUGGGUUAUGCCUGUGGAUAGCUCAAACUUAAUAUGGAACAACAUUUCUUUUGGCAUUCUUAUUGCAAUUUUCCUCAAAGUGUCUUUCAGCAGAUUAAUUACCCUAAAAUACUCUAGAUACUAACAGGCCAAAAUUGAUUUAUAGCGAAUAUUUUUAAAAGCUUUUUGUAAAAGCAACUUUCCAAUCCUCAUCCCCAAAGUAGGCCUGUGGAAACCACAUAUUGUUGAGUAUCCUGACAAACUAGUUAAGGCUUCUCUGUGGUCCUUACCCAGGGACCUACACUGUGCUCCAGGUGGUAAGGUACUUGUUUCCCCACCAGCUUUAGGAAGGUGGGAUCAGUGGGCAGGAGAAACGAGCUCGAACUAACAAUUCUGUUAUUUUAUCUACCAUCAAGUAGCAAGUUCCUUGCUACUCUCAUGCCCUUCCAGUUUAAACAUCCCCAUCGUGUAACUUUCAAAAUAACCUGCAAAAUCAAACAUUCAUUUGAGGUUUAGGAAAUCUGUUCUGUGCAAGUAUCAGAAGCAGCACAGUUAAUAUAAAACUCAGACUGACUGCAGCAAUUUGAGGGUACUACUAGGGCUGUGCAAGCACAGACUGCUUGUGAAGCUAUUAUUAUCAUCAUUCUCUUUAAUAUUACAGGGAGAGGCAACUCUGCAAGUGAGGGACAAUUGACAAUCACCAAAUACAACUUGAACCAAAAUUACAAGUAGUUUUAAAUCAUGGUGAAUGUAAAUUCUACCCGCAAUGGCAACAUCAAAUAAUUAAUCAAAGAUCUUUGAGAAGCACAUAGACAAGAGAAGGAGAGAAAUUAGCAAGCACUAUUUAUUAAUACACUCCUAAAGUUUCCAACAGCAAAGAUUAUUUUUAAAAAUUGAAUCCCCUCGGUAUUUCAGGAAUGUUUAGUGAUGGAUAUGGAAAUGGCUCAGUUAAAUGGGCCCUUCUGUGGAUGAGGAAAUAUAAACAAGGAGAGACCCCAGAGACCAAUUUGAUUUUACAUUUUUAUAAAUCAUGAGCAAGAGAGAGAGCACAGAAAUGCCUCCAUUUGCAGGGUGACUGAUUGCUAACCCAAUGACAACUCUGGGAAGAUUCCAAAAUGCCACAUGACUGAGUAGAAAAGUAGCAGAUGACUUUUUUGAUAGGCAAAUAUAUAAUGGAAAAAAUCAAAUGGUUCUUUAUAAAGUAAUAGGCUCUAAGUUCUCAGUUCUAAGUGCCUGUAGAAUUUUACUAAGGAAAAAGCCAGCACAACGAUAAACAUCAUCAGGAAGGAUACUAUUAAACCAUCAGGCACAAAACGAGUACCCCAAAGUCAGUUUCUUCCGCUUCUUCCCUUAAAUCAAUGAUGAAAACAAUGAACCCUACUCUGUCAUCUUAACCUCUGCAAAACCACAAAGCAUUUAUUAUCACUGGACUACUUAAUUUCUUGCCAUUUAAUCUCAAGAAAGCUACAAGAACCCCGGAAGUUAAAAGUUAAAUUUAAAAAAAGAAAGCUACAAGAGACUUAUAUAAGCCCCAAAAAAGACAAUUAAAAUGAGUAAAGCAAGGGAAUGGUUUGACAGCAAACUAACAAAAGGUCUUCUCAGGCUACGGAAAGAUAUGCCUGCAAUCCAUGAAUAAGAUAAAGUGACCUCAGACUCCACAGCAAAUCCCGAAAUGUAAGAACUAAGAAACAACGCUUAGAGGCUACAAGGGGUAAAUUCAGGACAAAUCAAAGGUGUAACUUUGUGAAAAGGGUGUUAAACAACUUCUUAUUCCAAGAGAUGGUGCCAGAAGCAUGAUUAGGUAUAGGAAGAACUUAGAUAAAUCCACAUAUGGUGGCUUUGGGGAAAUCAGGGCAGUUCUGUGGGACAGAACUAAUUUUUUAAAGCUGACCCGGAAGACAAGCAAUAACUGCUUCAUGACAUGAUUGGGGCUGCUGUCACAGAGAAGCCAUUGAGAGCCCUUCCUGUGGGCUCCGAACAGCACCGGACUGAGGAAGGGUCACUGUGGGAACAGGCGGAGCCUCCUUCCUGGCUGUACUUGGCGACUCUUGGAUUUUCCACUCCUGUGCCGUCCACAGAAAAAGCACAGACUUGCUCUCUCAACUCGCCCCUCCUCAAAACCUGGGUUCGCACCUCAUGUCUUCAGCUCAGGCAACUUCUAGGGCCUGGAGCAUUCUUUUUUCCUCUCACCUUCUCCCACCCAGAACACCUACCCGGCCAACCUCUAUUCACCUUUCAAGCCUGUGCAGAAGCGUGGCUUCUCUAAGAAAUGUUUCAAAAGCGACAUAGCACUCCAAGAAGUGUAGGUGUGGAUAUCACAGGCUCUCUCAAGAGACUAUCUGGCUCCUGACUGUGCCGCUGCCAUUGUCUUGCUGUGUGAUGCUGGGCAAGUUACCUAACCUUUCUGUGCUUCAGUAUCCUCAUCUGUAAACUGGAAAUAUUAAUAAUUACCUACCUCUAGGGGCAUUAUGAGGCUGUAAUGUUGUGAUAGAACAAGAAAUAUAUAUCUGGUUUUUGUCUGACAUAAAACUCCUAAAACCCUUGGAAUUUCCUGAGUAGAUGGGGUGGGAGGAACAUCUUUUUUUAUUAAUAAUAAGCUCCUUUCAAGCACACCUGAAUUUAUGCUAAUAAGGUGACUCUUGAAUGGACACUGAUUGCCAGAGAAACCAACCAUGUAAUUAGAGGAUUGGAACUUUUAGCCCCAUCCCAACCUCCUAGGAGGGGAGGACUGGGGAUUGAGUUAAUUACCAAUGGCUACUAAUUUAAUCAACCAUGCCUAUGUAAUGAAACCUCCAUAAAACCCUAAAUGACACAAUUUGGAGGGCUUCCAAGUUGGCGCCACAUACUCCCAUCCCCAUCCUUUGCCCUAUGCAUCUCUUCCAUUAGGCUAUUUCCGAGUUGUAUCCUUUAUAACAAACUGGUAAUGGUAAAAGUUGUGUUCUGUGAGUCAUUCUAGCAAAUUAUCGAACCUGAGGAGGGGUUGGGAACCCCCCCCUAUAGCCAGUCAGUCUGAAGUACAGGUCACGACCUGGGACUUGCAACUGGUGUCUGAAGUGGGGACAGUCUUGUGGGACUGAGUCCUUAACCUGUGGGAUCUGACGCUAACUCCAGGGAUGGAGCAUGUGGUAGGCAGAAUAAUGGCCACCCCACCAAAGCUUUCUACAGCCUAAUCCCUGGAUCCUGUUACACUACCUGGCAAAAGGCUUUGUGGAUGGACUUAAGGUUAUCCAGGUAGGCCCAGGACAAUCACGUGGGCCCUUAAAAGUGGACAAGGAGGGCCAGGCAUAGUGGCUCACGCCUGUAAUCCCAGAACUUUGGGAGGCUGAGGUGGGCAGAUCACUUGAGGUCAGGAGUUCAAGACCAGCCUGGCCAUCAUGGCGAAACCCGGUCUCUACUGAAAAUACAAAAAUUAGCUGGGUGUGGUGGCACACACCUGUAAUCCCAGCUACUCAGGAGGCUGAGGCACAAGAAUUGCUUGAACCUGGGAGGUGGAGGUUGCAGUGAGCUGAGAUCACAUCACUGCACUCCAGCCUGGGCAAUAGAGCAAGACUGUCUCUCUCUCAAAAAAAAAAAAAAAAAAAAAGGACAUGGAGGGCAAAAGAGUCAGAGGAAGGAAUGCAGUAGAAGAAAGGGCGGGAGAGAUUCAGAGCUUGACUUGCCCCACUGUUGCUGGCUUUGCAGCAAGAACACAGGACCUCAGUCCUACAACCACAUGGAACUGAAUUCUACUGACAACCUGAAUGAGCCUGGAAGUGGCUUCUCCCCAGAGCUUAGCCUUGCCAACACCUUGAAAAACUUGAAGCAGAGAAACCAGCUGAGCCCACCAGGUAUCUGAUCUACUGAACUGUAAGGAUGACAAAACUGUAUUGUUUUGGCUGGGCAUGGUGGCCCAUGCCUAUAAUCCCAGCACUUUGGGAGGCCAAGACAGGCAGAUCACUUGAGCCAAGGAGUUCAAGACCAGCCCCAACAUGGUGAAACUCUGUCCCUUAAAAAAAAACAAAAACAAAAACAAAACUUUAUUGUUUUAAGCCACUAAAUUUGUGGUAAUUUGUUACAGCAGUCACAGACAACUAAUAUGGAGCAGAAGAGUAAAUAAAUGAUGUCACUUGAUUUGGGCCUGAUAUGCUUUUUUUCUUUUUCGGACAUGGAGUCUCGCUGUGUCACCCAGGCUACAGUGCAGUGGUGUGAUCUCGGCUCACUGCAACCUCCGCCUCCCGGGAUCAAGCGAUUCUCCUGCCUCAGCCUUCCAAGUAGCUGGGAUUACAGGUGCCUGCCACCAUGCCCAGCUAAUUUUUGUAUUUUUAGUAGAGAUGGGGUUUUGCCAUGUUGGCCAGGCUGGUCUUGAACUCCUGACCUCAGGUGAUCCACCUGCCUUGGCCUCCCGAAGUGCUGGGAUUACAGGUGUGAGCCACCACGCCCGGCCUGGGCCUGGUAUGUUUGGGCUCUGUGUACCCCCACAAGUCUCAUCUCAAGUUGUGAUCCUAAGCGUUGGAGGUGGGGCCUGGUAAGAGGUGGCUGGAUCAUGGGGGCAGACUUCCCCCUUGCUGUUCUUGUGAUAGUGAGUGAGUUCUCACGAGAUCUGGUUAAAAGUGUGCGGCACUUCCCCCUUGCUCUCUCUCUCUCCUGCUCCGCUAUGGUAAGAUGUGUUUGCUUCCCCUUUGCCUUCACUAUGAUUGUGCGUUUCCUGAGGCCUCCCAGCUAUGCUUCCUGUACAGCUUGCAGAACUAUGAGUCAAUUAAACCUUUUCUUCAUAAA